rnacentral:rRNA from 1 species
GACGAACGCUGGCGGCGUGCUUAACACAUGCAAGUCGAGCGGAAAGGCCCUUCGGGGUACUCGAGCGGCGAACGGGUGAGUAACACGUGAGUAACCUGCCCCAGACUUUGGGAUAACCCUCGGAAACGGGGGCUAAUACCGGAUACGACACAGCUUCGCAUGGGGUCUGUGUGGAAAGUUUUUCGGUUUGGGAUGGGCUCGCGGCCUAUAAGAUUGUUGGUGGGGUGAUGGCCUACCAAGGCGACGACGGGUAGCCGGCCUGAGAGGGCGACAGGCCACACUGGGACUGAGACACGGCCCAGACUCCUACGUGAGGCAGCAGUGGGGAAUAUUGCACAAUGGGCGGAAGCCUGAUGCAGCGACGCCGCGUGAGGGAUGACGGCCUUCGGGUUGUAAACCUCUUUCAGCAGGGACGAAGCGUAAGUGACGGUACCUGCAGAAGAAGCGCCGGCCAACUACGUG